rnacentral:rRNA from 1 species
UACGUAGGGCGCAAGCGUUGUCCGGAAUUAUUGGGCGUAAAGAGCUCGUAGGCGGUCUGUCACGUCUGCCGUGAAAACCCGAGGCUUAACCUCGUGGCUUGCGGUGGAUACGGGCAGACUAGAGGUAGGUAGGGGAGAACGGAAUUCCCGGUGUAGCGGUGAAAUGCGCAGAUAUCGGGAGGAACACCGGUGGCGAAGGCGGUUCUCUGGGCCUUACCUGACGCUGAGGAGCGAAAGCAUGGGGAGCGACCAGG